UACGUAGGGUGCAAGCGUUGUCCGGAAUUAUUGGGCGUAAAGAGCUCGUAGGCGGUUCGUCACGUCGGCUGUGAAAACCUGGGGCUCAACUCCGGGCCUGCAGCCGAUACGGGCAGACUAGAGUUCGGUAGGGGAGACUGGAAUUCCUGGUGUAGCGGUGAAAUGCGCAGAUAUCAGGAGGAACACCGGUGGCGAAGGCGGGUCUCUGGGCAGUAACUGACGCUGAGGAGCGAAAGCGUGGGGAGCGAACAGG
rnacentral:rRNA from 1 species